GCUUCCCCAUGCUGCCGCCCGCGUCAAGAACAGCACGGACUAGCUUCUCACGAUUCUGCUCACAUCCCUUCACAGGAAAAAGAUACUCCCAGGAACUCAUUAACUCUAGAAAGAAAAAUCUUUUUGUUGGAUAGAAGAAAUACUGCCCCUAAAAUGGCAUUCCUGAGAAAUGGAAACAGUGCACGCAACACAUCACUUGGACAGAGAGAAGGCGUCACCAGAAAAUUAUGCUCUGUGUGCUGCAGGACUGAAGAUUUCCAAAGAACUGGAAAGCCUGGGCUUGGCAGCUCUACUUGGCAUUGAACCCAAGAGCAGAGAAGAAGGAGAUUACGCAAUGGUUUUUCUCCAAUCAGAAACACACAGAAGGAUCUUAGUUAUUCACCUCUCAUAUCUGCAUUGAGGAUAAACUCUGAGGACUAUCAUUUAUCCAAGGUCUUUGCAACGGAUCGAAAGGAAAGGACAAAACAGAGAUGCAAUCUUUUCAACUCUAGCUGAGUGAAGUGGACAGAGGGAAGUCUGUGGGCUUCCACUUGUGCCAGCACAGCAGAAGCCUGAGCUACUAGGAUCUUCCACUUCCAUAUACAGAGGAAGCUGCCCUCUCUUCCUUCCCUUUGUCUUUUCCAAAAAUAAUUAGAAGCACAAAGAUAAGGAGCAUAGUGUCCUUGCUUUGUUAAUCAGCCUGCUUUCUUUCCUAAACACUUUAUUUGAUGCCAUAACAAACUAACAUACAAGAAAUGUUUGUAGUUUCCAAUCCAGAGUGAAGAAUGUUCAGAGAGGUCCAGGCCAUGAGUCAUCCUCCCCCUGUUUUGGGAUAAAUAAACCUCUGACAAGGCAACUGUCCAAGUAGAGCACUUUACAGAUGCCAGGAAAACAGGCCAAAUCUUCAUUCAAGUGAAAGCCAACACUUAAGUCAGAUUUGUCCUACAUGGUCAACAAGAGGCCCAUGGCAUAUGUAGCCAAGGUCAUCUGCUUGUGGUCUUUAAUUGUUGUAUGAUAUGUUGGGAAUGAAAACCAGGGUUUUGUGCACAGUAGGCCCUUACCCUACCAUUACGGUAGCAAAGACCCUGGCACUUUGCUUUCCACACACAGAGCACUCACCCAUGUA